CAUUUAACGUUUCACGAGUCACGGUGUUACGAGGAACGUGUGGGCCAGAACACAUCGACCUUCACCUUCUGCAUGCUGGGAAGAAUGUGUUGACAGUUGAAACAUGGGCAGAUACCUCCUGGAGACGCGAGUGUUGCCGCAUCUUCAGUGUAAAAGCAUAGUUGAGGCCACAAAGCCUCGCAGCAGGCCAGCCCAUUGCACAGAUGCAGAUAUUAGUGCGCAGAGGUGAAAGGUCACCCAGCCGAUAGGGCUGGAGGGCUGUCUUCUCCAGGCUUCCUUCCUCCUGAUGCCCACAGCCGACGCAGCCAUGCUUUCCUCUGACCCUCCAACAAGGGUUAUGUGGACCCUCCGGGACCCUGUUCAUCUGACGUUGUAAGGUACGCUUUUCAGUGUUAAAUGGCCUAGGAAGACCAAGUCUCUGGAGCUAUCCACCUUUAAAAACUAAUUGCAGGGGCGCCUGGGUGGCUCAGUCGGUUAAGCGUCCGACUUCGGCUCAGGUCACCAUCUCGC